rnacentral:rRNA from 1 species
UACGAAGGGGGCUAGCGUUGCUCGGAAUCACUGGGCGUAAAGCGCACGUAGGCGGCUUGCUAAGUCAGGGGUGAAAUCCUGGAGCUCAACUCCAGAACUGCCUUUGAUACUGGCAACCUUGAGUCCGGGAGAGGUGAGUGGAACUGCGAGUGUAGAGGUGAAAUUCGUAGAUAUUCGCAAGAACACCAGUGGCGAAGGCGGCGCACUGGCCCGGUACUGACGCUGAGGUGCGAAAGCGUGGGGAGCAAACAGG